rnacentral:rRNA from 1 species
UGCCAGCAGCCGCGGUAAUACGGAGGGAUCUAGCGUUAUUCGGAAUUACUGGGCGUAAAGCGCGCGUAGGUGGUCUGUUAAGUCGGAUGUGAAAGCCCUGGGCUCAACCUGGGAACUGCAUCCGAUACUGGCAGACUAGAGUGCGGGAGAGGGAGGUAGAAUUCCAUGUGUAGCGGUGAAAUGCGUAGAUAUGUGGAGGAAUACCAGUGGCGAAGGCGGCCUCCUGGCUCGACACUGACACUGAGGUGCGAAAGCGUGGGGAGCAAACAGGAUUAGAUA